rnacentral:lncRNA from 1 species
UCCUGCACCAAAGGGCCGCAUUCAAAGCCCUGUGCAAAAAUCAGGUGCCAAAGCCCUGCACCAAAGUCCUGCACCGAAGUCCUGCACCACAGUCCUGCACCCAAAGCCCCAUACUCAGUUCUGCACCAAAGUGCUGCAGCCAAAAUCCUGCAACCACAGCCCUGCAGCAAAAUCCCACACCCAAAAUCCUGCGCCAAAGUCCUGCACCCAAAACCCUGCAACCAAAGUCCUGCAACCAAAGCCCUGCAGCAAAAUCCCACGCCCAAAGUCCUGCACCAAAGGGCCGCAUUCAAAGCCCUGUGCCAAAAUCAGCUGCCAAAGCUCUGCAACAAAGUCCUGCACUGAAGUCCUGCACCAAAGUCGUGCACCCAAAGCCCCAUACUCAGUUCUGCACCAAAGUCCUGCACCCAAAACCCUGCAUCAAAAUCUUGCAACCAAAGCCCUGCGUCCAAACCCCUGCAGCAAAGUCCUGCAUCCAAAAUCCUGCAUCCAAAGCCCUGCAGCAAAAUCCCACACCCAAAGUCCUGCACCAAAGUCCUGCAACCAAAGCCCUGCAUCCAAACCCCUGCAGCAAAGUCCCACACCCAAAAACCCUGCAUCAAAAUCCUGCAACCAAAGCCCUGCGUCCAAAGCCAUGCAGCAAAAUCCCACACCCAAAGUCUUGCACCAAAGCCCUGCACCCAAAAUCCUGCACCCAAACUCUGCACCCAAAGCCCUGCACCGAACAUCCUGCAACCAAAGCCAUGCAGGAAAACCCCACAGCCAAAGUCCUGCACCAAACCAUGCAGCAAAGCUGCAGCAAAGCCCUACACCCCCAAUGCUGCACCCAAAGCACUGCACCCAAAGCCCUGCACCGAACAUCCUGCAACCAAAGCCAUGCACUGAACAUCCUGCAACCAAAGCCAUGCAGGGAAACCCCACAGCCAAAGUCCUGCACCAAACCAUGCAACAAAGCCCUACACCCCCAAUCCUGCACCCCCAAUGCUGCACCCAAAGCCCUGCACCGAACAUCCUGCAACCAAAGGCAUGCAGGGAAACCCCACAGCCAAACUCCUGC